GGUGGUGAAUCUGUGGAAUUCAUUGCCACAGACGGCUGUGGAGGCCAAGUCAAUGGAUAUUUUUUAAGGUGAAGUUUGACAAAUUCUUGUUUAGUAAGAGUGUCAGGGAAUGAAAAAGGCAGGAGAAUG